GGCCUAGCAACGUGGGCCUGUAACCCAAGUGGGGGCAUGUGGGAGAUGGGACUUUGGGUCAGCCCAUUGGAUCGGGUCCAGUGUUAGCUGCUUGCUGGUCUGCCCAUUCCAAGCCGAGAGUUGGGCUGUGUGAUCUGGGCGAAGGCUGGGGUCGCACAGCUCCUAAAGAGGAGGGCAAUGCGUGAGGCUGGUUUCACAGAGCAGCGACCACCUCCCGCUCUCGGCAGUGGAAGGAUAACGGGUCGGUGCUACUUGGGCCACCAUGGUCACUGCAUGCACUCUUAAUCAGACCAUCUCUUUU
rnacentral:SRP_RNA from 13 species